rnacentral:rRNA from 1 species
GACGAACGCUGGCGGCGUGCAUAACACAUGCAAGUCGAACGGUAAGGCCCUUCGGGGUACACGAGUGGCGAACGGGUGAGUAACACGUGGGUGAUCUGCCCUGCACUUCGGGAUAAGCCUGGGAAACUGGGUCUAAUACCGGAUAGGACCAUUGCCUGCCUGGGUGGUGGUGGAAAGCUUUUGCGGUGUGGGAUGGGCCCGCGGCCUAUCAGCUUGUUGGUGGGGUGAUGGCCUACCAAGGCGACGACGGGUAGCCGGCCUGAGAGGGUGACCGGCCACACUGGGACUGAGAUACGGCCCAGACUCCUACGGGAGGCAGCAGUGGGGAAUAUUGCACAAUGGGCGCAAGCCUGAUGCAGCGACGCCGCGUGAGGGAUGACGGCCUUCGGGUUGUAAACCUCUUUCAGCAUCGACGAAGCGCAAGUGACGGUAGGUGCAGAAGAAGGACCGGCCAACUACGUGCCAGCCGCCGCCGUAA